rnacentral:lncRNA from 1 species
CUCCAUUCCCAUUGAUUGAAGAGAUUAUCCCUUACCCACUGCUCCUCUGGGCCGCCAUUGUCCACAUCACUUUUAUGUAUGGGUGAGUCUCUUUUGGAGUUCUCUGUUGGGUUACAUUUGUGUAUUUUUCUGUCUGGUUAAUCAUUAUAGUUUUAAAAUACAUCAUGAUAUUUGCUUGAUUAAGGUUCCCUAAUCUGGUUUUUCUUCAGGAAUGUUUUGGCUCUUCUUAGCCCUGUAAAGGGCUUUUAUAUUAGUUUUUAUAUUAGUUUUAGAACCAACUCCACACUCCUCAAGAGGAGACUUGUUGGAAUUUUUAUUGAGAUUUCAUUGACUCUAUACAUUAAUUUGGAUAGAACUGACAUUGUGCUGAACAUAAUGUAUUUCCAUAUAUAUUUAUUUUCUUUUAUAUUUCUCUGUAGAGUUUUGUCACUUUUUCCUAUAGCAGUGUUACACAGAUUUUAAGUUUACCUACAUGUACUUUAAAUUUUUGAUGCAAUUUAAAAUAUCUUUUUAAUUUUCUUAAUUUGUUAUUUUAUACAGAGAUAUAAUUGACUUUAAUAUUUAUUUUACAUUCAGCAGAUUUGCUAUAUGCUCCAAUUAAUUCUAAUAGUUUACUAAACUUUUGUUCUUCAAAUAAAAAAUUUAAGAUAUAAAGAACUCUUCAAUUAAUUUACAUUGUUGACAUAACUUUUCAGCUCUUUAAUGCUAUUGAUUUAAAAUAUAAGAAGAACUUUAAAAAAUGUAAAUAUAUAUAUUUUUAAAAUACAAAAAACCUUUUAUUGUGGUUGUUUAUAUCAGUCAAUGUUGAUUUGAAUACCUAAUCUACCUUUACUGGAAUGACAUUUCUGAUAUUUUAUCUUAGUAAUUUUUUAUGAGUUGUGAAUGCUUGAUGACUUAUACUCUUAUUCAAAAAUUUCAUUUUCCAUUCUAUUUCAGGGGUAUAUAAACAUCAUCACUCUAUUAUCUGCCCAAGUUCUAAUUUUUAUUGAGUAGAAUAAAACAAAUUUUAACAGAGUAUUAUGUCAUCCUAUUUUACUAGACUUUAAUUUAUUCUAUUUCAUUGUCUAUUUCCAUCUUUUCCUAAUCUCUCAAUUUCCAUGGUAUCAAUCUAUACUCCUGAUCUUAGGAUAUUCAUUUUAUUUGCAAAAUUCUAAUAAUUGAGAAAGUUAUAAAGAUAUUAUAUUCUGAACUACCACAGAACCUAAAAAAAUCAUUGAUAUAUCCUUAUACAUUGGUAGAAAAAGCACAAUUGAAUUUUAUAUUGCUUCCAUAUUAACCUUUUUAUUCUGUUUCACUUACAUUUAAUGCCAAUACAUUUUUUCCUGAUAUAUUUUUUUGACAUUUUCUCCUUUUAGUUUAUCUCCUGAAAUAUGUCAGCAAUCCCUCAAUGUCAUUUUAAUCAUGCAUCUGAAAUCUUUGCAUUAUCUCAAGAAAUUGAGUUCUUUAGAAAGAGAAAUGCAUUGUCAAGAAAUACCUCAGCAAAUUUCAUUUUGAUUAAAAUUUAUAUUUAAAAAUAUGAUGUGUUCCUUCAUGAAAUACUGAAAUGAUGCAAAUACAGUUAACUUACAUUCAGCUGUCCACAGCUAACAUUAAAAAUACCUGUCAAAGCUACCCAUUACUUGUCACAUUAUGACAAAUCCAGAAAGUAAUUCUUAAGUUAGCAAGAGUUCUUCUGACAUAUCCUCUCUUCAGCUUGUUGUUAAUCCAUUCUCACAUCAGACUUGACUUUGACAUUAUGAGAAAUGAUAGACUAGCUGUGAUCAUUUACUGAAGUUUCUGAAUUAAAAGUAAUAACAACGUGUAGAGGGGCGAGAACACAUUUCAUCUAAAGAUUAAGAUGCAUUAUUUUAAAAACCCUCUAAAUACCUUCAAUUCUUCAGAACAGAUUUUAUCUUGUUUGAAAGAUUGUUAGAUUGAAUCAUCUCCUAAAAGAAAUAGUUUCAUGUGGACUACCACAAGUUUUCAAUGUUUGAUAUCAUUACCCUACUGCCUAUAAUUUUUUGUUAUGUUUCUUUUAGGCUCUCAGUUCUAUUGCUCAAUGUAAUUAACUCAAUCUUUACUUUAGUAAAAUACUUCCAUUUUUAGACUUUUGGUCCCAUUUCAGUACAUAAAGUUCUGUUUUACUUAUUAGAGACUUUGAAAUAAUUUUAUUAAUUUAUUUACUGCUUACUAAAAUACAUUACAGUUUAAUUGCAGUGCAAAGAAAGAUUACUUGGAAUUAUGAAUGGAUUUGGUCGACUGCAUUUUUCUCUAAAUUUCCUCAAGGUAUGUGUUCAUUGUAGACAAGUAUCCUUUCUUAAAGCUGCAAGUGGAUCCUUCAUCCUGUCCACCUAUAAGCAUUGUGAGAAGAGAAAGGUAGCAAUUUCCUGCAAUGGUAACAUGGCAUCAAGGAAUAUCUCAAGUUGUUCAAAGAAGCAUCAAAACAUUUCUCCCAAACUCUGAAAUUAGAAUGAAUUGCAAUGAAGUUUAACAGCUUAACAUAUAAAAUUAAAAAUUUAGCCAAGUGUAUAUACUAAACUAUUUCGUUAGGCUUCUCUAUAAUUAUUUUAGGAAAAAAUCACCUUAUUUUGGCUAUUUACUAUACUUUUGUAAAUUCAGGAUAUGUUUCAACUUUCUAUAAUAAAAAUAGCUGGAAAACUAAAAGAGUAUGGUCUUCUCUGUGUGAGACUAAUUGUGCAUGUAAUCACUGAUGAAUGUAUCUUGAGAAUGUCCACUUCAUAAUAGCACAAUCUUAAUUCUUGUCCAUCAAUAGAAGAGAACUAAAUAGCCAUUUCUGUUAUCUCUCUAGGACAGUGGUCCUCAACCAUGGGUGAUUUUACACCACCCAGCGGCCAUUUUUUCAACAUCUGUAGACAUUUUUGGUUGUCAAAAAUGGCUAUAGGUGCUAAUUAGAGACUAUAGACCAGGAUGAUACUAAUCUUUCCAGAACAUGCAGGACAGUGCCCCACUUCAUUCCACUAAUCCAAGGUCAGAAAAUCCCACUCUGGGUUCUUCAGCAUUAUGUUGAGUAGAUUGAAGACCAGAGAACUACUGAAGACUCUUCAUAAGCUCUCUUGCUUUAAGUAGAGGUGAUGUAUUGAACUAAGAAAAAAUUCAAUAGGAGCAUCCUUUAAUGGGUACUUGAUGUAGUAUAUAGAAGAGAGGAUAAAGUAUGUUUUCAACAUCUGUGCCACAGCAGGUUGUCCCCUUUCACUAGCCAAACAGGCACAGGGGAUUUCUGGGCAGAGAAAACAUCCAAGUGGCAGGGUGAUAUUGAAAUCUAGUAUUUUUGGAAAUUCUUGUUACUAUAGUCUAUACUUCGGGUGUUUUUACUUAAGUGUGUUCCAUGCACAAGGUGACUAAACAAUUUUCCUGUACAUAUUUUCUUUUCUCAUAGUCUAAAAGUAUAAUUCAAUAUUAACAGUUGUUCUAUUAGACAGUUUCAUUAUCAAAAAAUCUUAUGCCUCAAAUAUAUGAGAAAGAACAUACUGAAAGUAUUAGAAUAGAAGUAAAUAUAAAAAUACUUUCUAAAAAUAAAAAUGUUAAAAAUAGUUUCAAAUAAGGAAAUGAGAAUAAGAUCAUGUUAUUUCUGCUAUCUUUUCUGGGAACAAUUGUGCUAUAAAUGGGGAAGGUGUCCGAAGCUACCAGCUACUAAUUCAGAAUCUAGCCUGUCUUUCUGCUUGGAGCUGUGCUAGCUUAUACUCUAUAAUUUUGGCAACUGGUUUGCUGUCUCUGAAAUACACUUUUCCCACUGGGAGGAUCCUUAAUCCCUAAGCCUGGUCUCUCUAAUAACUGAAUGCUGCUUGUUUGUGAUUAUUAAUAGGAUCCUGGAUUUCCAUGCUAAAAUCUUAGAUGCUGAUUUGAUCUCUGUUUAUUUGUUCCUAUCUUUUUCUGUCCUUUUAAGCUGAUCUUUCUUUCACAAAUGCAAUUUUUAUAUUUACAUCCUUAAUGGUCAUUUCUCAGAAGCAAUCUUCUACACUUACUUUUUUUCUGUAUUCACAUUUAGUAUCUUGUGCAGAAACACACACAUUUCCUUUUGUAUUCUACAUCAAAUCUUAUGCCAAUAGAAUAUUUUCUAAAAUUAUUGAGUACUGAGUCACAAAAAACAUUACAAUAAAUUCCGAGGAGUAGGAUUUUUGUAAGCCAUAUCCUCUGGUCGCAAUAAUUCAGUUAAUGCAAAAGUGAAUAUUUAGAAAAGAUUAACUGCUUUAAAAUUAAAUUCUUGGAUCAAAAAUGAACUAAAUAUUGAAUUCCAAAUUAUUUUAAAUUAAUAAAAGUAUGAAUAAUUUGAAUACUAAUGUGACACAGUGUAAGGCAUUUACUCGGACUAAAAUGUAUGACUUUGAAAGCUUUAAUUAAAAAACAAAGAUUGAAAACAAAUCAAUAAUCACCUUGAAAAGCUAGAAAAUACUGGAAGUAACACAACUAAAAAAAAACACAAUCAGUAAAGAUAAAUCCUGAAAUUGAUGAAAUAUAAAGUGAAAGAGUAAAUGUUGGCUAAACCAUAAAAUAAUAAUGCUCUCAGAAAGACAAAGAAUAAAAACAGGCAAUUUAUAAAAGAAUAUUAUAAAUGUAAAUCUCACCAUUUCUCAGGAAAAUCUGAAUGCAGACAAUAAGUGUUGUUUUUCAACCAUUAAUUCAGCAAAAUAUCAGGAAAAAAUACCAUUUUUUUAUGAGGUUGAAAGGCAGAGGCUCUCUUAUACAUUUUAAGUUGAAUAUAAAUAGCUAGCAAUACUUGGUGCAUCACAUAGGAUUUUUUCCAAAUGAAAAAUGAUCAUAUUCUUUUAUCCACCAGUUCUACUUUAGAGAUCUGUCUUACAGAAAUGAAUGCAUGACUAUGAAAUCAUGACUGUCCUUAGAUGCAAGUAACAGGGGGAUGGCUCCUGACCCUGUCCUUCAGAGGGAUCAGGCCUGUCUAUUCCUUUAGGGCAGAAAUUUGUUGGGGUCAAAACGUUAUGGAGUCAGGGAGUCUGUGAUCCUUUGCUCCCUACCUGGAUCACAUUGUAUUUUCUAUAUACUGAAGGCUCAGAAUUCUUUGUCAAAGGACUCAAGUCAGCUCCCUGGUUCUGAAUGGGCUUUUUGCCCAGUUUGUUUUCUCUCAGCAUCUCUAAGUCCAAGCAGUGUCCAACUGGAGGCUAUCUGCAAGUGGAGACUCUGUAAGAAAAAUGUGGGUGGGGUAAAAUAUUAGCAUUGGGGUGUCCUUAUGGGAGAAUACUGGGCCUUCUGUUACGUGACUGUCCCAAGAAAGGAUGAGAAUUGGGACAGGUGGGAUGCAAAUGGUUGGGGACCAAAACAUCUGAAAACUGGAAAUUUCAAGCUGGUCUUCCAGGUCAUUGUGAAAGUCUAUUUGUUAAAGUUGGAAGACAGAAUUUAUUGUAUAUAAAGCUUUUUAGCCUGAUCAAUAACUUUAAAUCUUUGGACAUAUGAUAUGUCACCCUCUACCUGGACUCUUUCUUCAGGCCAACCAAUGUCAGGGGAGGACUGGUACCCAGUGAUAUAGGUUUGAGAAUAAUGGUUGCAGCAUUGUUUUAAUUAAUAAUUUGAUUUGCCAUUAAAGGGGCAGUGGUAAAAUAAAGCAUGAAUGGCCUGUACUAUAGGAUACUAUACAAUCAUUCUAAAUAAUUUUAGGUUUUAAAUAUUGGCUUGAACAAUCACAUGGUAAUGGACAAAAAAGUUGUAGAACCAGUGUUAGUGUGAUUGUAUGAUUAUAAGAACAAAAAUAAAAAAAAAACAACAAAAUUUGUGUGUGCUGGAUAAACAUAGGCAAUAAUGUGAACAGUUUCAUAGCAAUCUGAUAAUAUUGGCUUCUGAGGAAAAUUGCACUGAUGUAAGGUAAAAAUGUUUAUAUUUUAUUACCUGAACAUCUAUUCUUUUUUUUUUUUUUUUUUUGUCUGAGGCAUAUGGUGGUUUCCAGGUUAAGAGUUGAAUCGGAGCUACAGCUGCCAACCUACACCACAGCCACAGCAACACCAGAUCCUUAACCCACUGAGCGAGGCCAGGGAUCAAACCUCAUGGAUGCUAGUCAGAUUCAUUUCCACUGAGCCAUGAUGGGAACUCCAAGAAUUCUUUUAUAAUUUAAUAAUAUGUAAAAUUCUGCUUAAAAAUCAAGUAAAAGGAGUUCCAGUCGUGGUGCAGUGGAAAUGAAUCCAACUAGGAACCAUGAGGUUGCAGGUUUGAUCCCUGGCCUCACUCAGUGGGUUAAGGAUCUGGUGUUGCCAUGAGCUAUGAUGUACGUCACAGAUAAGGCUUGGAUCUUGGAUUGCUGUGGCUGUGGUGUAGGCUGGCAGCUGCAGCUCUGAAAUGACCCCUAGCCUGGGAAUCUCCAUAUGCCACAGGUAUGGCC